rnacentral:rRNA from 1 species
GACGAACGCUGGCGGCGUGCUUAACACAUGCAAGUCGAACGGAAAGGCCCUGCUUGCAGGGUGCUCGAGUGGCGAACGGGUGAGUAACACGUGGGUGAUCUGCCCCUUACUUUGGGAUAAGCCUGGGAAACUGGGUCUAAUACUGGAUAGGACCAUGCUGUAGGUGGUGUGGUGGAAAGAUUAGUUUCGGUAAGGGAUGAGCUCGCGGCCUAUCAGCUUGUUGGUGGGGUAAUGGCCUACCAAGGCGUCGACGGGUAGUCGGCCUGAGAGGGUGGACGGCCACAUUGGGACUGAGAUACGGCCCAGACUCCUACGGGAGGCAGCAGUGGGGAAUAUUGCACAAUGGGCGCAAGCCUGAUGCAGCGACGCCGCGUGGGGGAUGACGGCCUUCGGGUUGUAAACUCCUUUCAGCCAUGACGAAGCCCUUGUGGUGACGGUAGUGGUAGAAGAAGCACCGGCUAACUACGUG